UUCUUGUAAACAAUAUUUAUAGAGUCAUCGGUAAAUAAUUUUUAUAAUGUAAAAGCUAAAUAAAUUCAUACGUACUAUAAUACAGAUAACCGGGAUAUGAAAUUUACUUUACAGUGAUUGUGGGCCCACAAGGAACAAAAGUGCACAAAGAUAGUAAACCUAUAGUUUUUGGAGCAGUAAAGCCGACUAAAACUCCUUGACGAUAUCUGUUAUCCAUAGGCUAC
rnacentral:lncRNA from 1 species